UCUGACGGAGCACGCCGCGUGAGUGAUGAAGGUUUUCGGAUCGUAAAGCUCUGUUGUUAGGGAAGAACAAGUACCGUUCGAAUAGGGCGGUACCUUGACGGUACCUAACCAGAAAGCCACGGCUAACUACGUGCCAGCAGCCGCGGUAAUACGUAGGUGGCAAGCGUUGUCCGGAAUUAUUGGGCGUAAAGGGCUCGCAGGCGGUUUCUUAAGUCUGAUGUGAAAGCCCCCGGCUCAACCGGGGAGGGUCAUUGGAAACUGGGGAACUUGAGUGCAGAAGAGGAGAGUGGAAUUCCACGUGUAGCGGUGAAAUGCGUAGAGAUGUGGAGGAACACCAGUGGCGAAGGCGACUCUCUGGUCUGUAACUGACGCUGAGGAGCGAAAGCGUGGGGAGCGAACAGGAUUAGAUACCCUGGUAGUCCACGCCGUAAACGAUGAGUGCUAAGUGUUAGGGGGUUUCCGCCCCUUAGUGCUGCAGCUAACGCAUUAAGCACUCCGCCUGGGGAGUACGGUCGCAAGACUGAAACUCAAAGGAAUUGACGGGGGCCCGCACAAGCGGUGGAGCAUGUGGUUUAAUUCGAAGCAACGCGAAGAACCUUACCAGGUCUUGACAUCCUCUGACAAUCCUAGAGAUAGGACGUCCCCUUCGGGGGCAGAGUGACAGGUGGUGCAUGGUUGUCGUCAGCUCGUGUCGUGAGAUGUUGGGUUAAGUCCCGCAACGAGCGCAA
rnacentral:rRNA from 1 species